UACGUAGGGUGCAAGCGUUGUCCGGAAUUAUUGGGCGUAAAGAGCUCGUAGGCGGUUCGUCGCGUCGGCUGUGAAAACCCGGAGCUCAACUCCGGGCCUGCAGUCGAUACGGGCGGACUUGAGUGUUGCAGGGGAGACUGGAAUUCCUGGUGUAGCGGUGAAAUGCGUAGAUAUGUGGAGGAACACCAGUGGCGAAGGCGACUCUCUGGUCUGUAACUGACGCUGAGGCGCGAAAGCGUGGGGAGCAAACAGG
rnacentral:rRNA from 1 species